rnacentral:rRNA from 1 species
AUUGAACGCUGGCGGCAGGCCUAACACAUGCAAGUCGGGCGCGCGGCGGACGGGUGAGUAAUGUAUGGGGACCUGCCUGAUGGAGGGGGAUAACUACUGUAAACGGUAGCUAAUACCGCAUACCCUCAGAUGAACCCAUAUGGGAUUAGCUAGUAGGUGGGGUAACGGCUCACCUACGCGACGAUCCCUAGCUGGUCUGAGAGGAUGAUCAGCCACACUGGGACUGAGACACGGCCCAGACGCCUACGGGAGGCAGCAGUGGGGAAUAUUGCACAAUGGGCGCAAGCCUGAUGCAGCCAUGCCGCGUGUAUGAAGAAGGCCUUCGGGUUGUAAAGUACUUUCAGUCGGGAGGCGUUACCGACAGAAGAAGCACCGGCUAACUCCGUGCCAGCCGCCGCGGUAAUAC